UUUUGAUAAUUUUAUAUAAAAAAUAAAUAAAAUUUACUUCUGUGCAUAUACAUUAUAUAUAUGUUAACGAUGUUGACGAAUUGCCGACGAAGACGAACUUAUGUACAUUGAUUGUUAUUAUUAUUUUUCGUAAUAUUAUUUGAUCGGAACUUUCCAUGAAUUUUAAAUGAUAGUGACCGAAGUAACUUAAUUAAUGCAUAUAAUACAUAUUUUUCGUAAUAUUAUUUGAUCGGAACUUUCCAUGAAUUUUAAAUGAUAGUGACCGAAGUAACUUAAUUAAUGCAUAUAAUACAUAUUUUUCUCCAAGUUGUACAUUUUAUAUU
rnacentral:lncRNA from 1 species